rnacentral:rRNA from 1 species
GAGCGGAGACGAGUGUAUCAUGAACCUUCGGGGAACGAUAACGGCGUCGAGCGGCGGACGGGUGAGUAAUGCCUAGGAAAUUGCCCUGAUGUGGGGGAUAACCAUUGGAAACGAUGGCUAAUACCGCAUAAUGCCUACGGGCCAAAGAGGGGGACCUUCGGGCCUCUCGCGUCAGGAUAUGCCUAGGUGGGAUUAGCUAGUUGGUGAGGUAAUGGCUCACCAAGGCGACGAUCCCUAGCUGGUCUGAGAGGAUGAUCAGCCACACUGGAACUGAGACACGGUCCAGACUCCUACGGGAGGCAGCAGUGGGGAAUAUUGCACAAUGGGCGCAAGCCUGAUGCAGCCAUGCCGCGUGUGUGAAGAAGGCCUUCGGGUUGUAAAGCACUUUCAGUCGUGAGGAAGGUGGUGUAGUUAAUAGCUGCAUUAUUUG